UUGGUCAUUUAGAGGAAGUAAAAGUCGUAACAAGGUUUCCGUAGGUGAACCUGCGGAAGGAUCAUUACCUAGAGUUGUAGGCUUUGCCUGCUAUCUCUUACCCAUGUCUUUUGAGUACCUUACGUUUCCUCGGUGGGUUCGCCCACCGAUUGGACAAACUUAAACCCUUUGCAGUUGAAAUCAGCGUCUGAAAAAACUUAAUAGUUACAACUUUCAACAACGGAUCUCUUGGUUCUGGCAUCGAUGAAGAACGCAGCGAAAUGCGAUAAGUAGUGUGAAUUGCAGAAUUCAGUGAAUCAUCGAAUCUUUGAACGCACAUUGCGCCCCUUGGUAUUCCAUGGGGCAUGCCUGUUCGAGCGUCAUUUGUACCUUCAAGCUCUGCUUGGUGUUGGGUGUUUGUCUCCUGUAGACUCGCCUUAAAACAAUUGGCAGCCGGCGUAUUGAUUUCGGAGCGCAGUACAUCUCGCGCUUUGCACUCAUAACGACGACAUCCAAAAGUACAUUUUUACACUCUUGACCUCGGAUCAGGUAGGGAUACCCGCUGAACUUAAGCAUAUCAAUAAG
rnacentral:rRNA from 1 species